AGAGUUUGAUCCUGGCUCAGGAUAACGCUGGCGGCGUGCCUAACCCAUGCAAGUCGGUACGAUCCCGCAAGGGAGAGUGGCGGAAGGGUGAGUAACACGUAGAAAUCUACCUCGCCGGAGGGAACAACCCCUCGAAAGAGAGGCUAAUACCCAAAAGGAUCCGCAAGGAUCAGAGUCCGCAAGGGCCUGGCGAGAGGAGUCUGCGGCCCAUCAGCUAGUUGGUGGGGUAACGGCCUACCAAGGCUACGACGGGUAGGGGGUCUGAGAGGAUGUCCCCCCACACUGGAACUGAAACACGGUCCAGACGCCUACGGGUGGCAGCAGGGAGGAAUAUUGGACAAUGGGGGAAACCCCGAUCCAGCAACGCCGCGUGAGGGAUGAAGGCCUUCGGGUUGUAAACCUCUUUUCAGGGAGACGAGCAAGGACGGCAUCCCUGGAAUAAGUCACGGCUAACUACGUGCCAGCAGCCGCGGUAAUACGUAGGUGGCGAGCGUUAUCCGGAUUUACUGGGCGUAA
rnacentral:rRNA from 1 species